GCCUGGCUGGCUCAGUUGCAAGAGUGUGCAACUCCUGAUCUCAGGGUCAUGAGUUCAAGCCCCAUGUUAGGUG
rnacentral:tRNA from 1 species